UUCAGCAAAGGAAAAAAUCAAUGGGUGUCCUUUGUCCAUAAAUUUAGUUUUAGAGGAAACCCUAUAGUGGAGAAUUUCAUUUUUAUAAAAGAUUUCACUAUGAGCCGGAUAAGAUCAAAUGUUUUUGCUAAAGAGGAUAAUCAUGUUCCUUCAUGAGUUUUCUUUUCCUUUCUGAGUUUAAAUCCCACCGAUCAAUUUUUAUUUCCUCAUUUUUAAUUUUUUAAAGCGAGUUACCUGUGCAUCAGCUUGUCACUCCCCAGGUGUGUCUAUUUCAGUCUGGACUUGGGAGAAAAGUGCAAGAAAUAAGGAGGAAGGUUUCCCACACUAACUGCCGAGUCGCCUUGCACCGUUGUUGGCUUAGGAGAGCCACGUGGAGUUUGUUCCCAUCCUUACUGUGUUUCCUGUGGAGCUGCGUCUCCUCCCGGGGUGCCGUCAGUUCUGGAAGGUGGUGCCCAAGAGGAAUCCUCCCCUCUCUGAAGGCGAGUCGUACUUGCUAGGAGACUCCUCCUGAAGCUCAAAUUUGGCUCCAUGUGGGAUUUUAUGAUGCAAAUAUUUUAAGUACAACUUUGAAGAUUUUGCCAUUAAAAACAGUCUCAUGUGGCUCAGGGCCCAGCCGACUGCAAACUAGAAAGGGGGACGUGCCAUAAAUUGCUGGCAAGUGACAGGAAGGAAACGGCCCCACAUGUCUAAAUCAGUCGUGACCUUGGGGAACGAGCUGGCUUCAGGGUUCACUCAGUUCCUAUCUCCUGCUGUCAGCGGCAGCAAGCUUACCAUGGUUGUUUACCUUGGGAUGAAAUGGGAGCAAACAUCAGCCUGACAGCCCCAGAGAGGGCUGGAAUGAGGACUCACCCCGGAAGCCAGGUAUUUUGGAAUAGUGUAAACCUUUGACCUUGGCUUGCAGGGCCUCCACGUAAGUUUGUUCUGCACGUGCCCUUGACUUGCACCUCCAUUUCCUAGCCUCCUUUAAUGUUUUCUGUGUGACUGGCGGAGCCUAAAGAGCUCACCCUCUGGUCCAAGCAACCAAAGUGUUAACACAAAAUCUGAAGUGGCCGUCCCAGUGCAGAGAGGCCCCUGGCUCCCACAUUCCUCGGUGGACUUAAGCGUGCAGGGCUUUUCAGUUUGUACAGCGUUCGCUUCUUUUGCAUCCCCAAACCCUGUGAAGCACGUUAGAGCAACGACAGUCCAAUUUUACGCAUGAGGAAACCAGGCGAGUUUGUGACUUGCUGUUUGGAGAACUGCCCGAUUGGAAGGUGGGACCCAUUGUCCUGAACCUGUGGGGUUAUGAGGGUUUUAGCCAAAGGGAGGUUUUUGUUUUGAAUCAAUUUAAAAUUCCUUACUUGACUGUAAUUCAUCAACUGGCAAAACUAACACAAUAGUAUGCAGUAGUAGAGAAUUAACAACACUCUCAAAAUAAAUUUUAUUAAUCAUAAUAGUAUUUGCAUACACUUGAAAAUUACAUAUGUACAAAUAUGAUACGCAUAGUGUGAGAUAAAUAUAAUGGUUCUAUAACAGUUUACUUUAGCCCCCAAAUCCCUUUUGAAAU
rnacentral:lncRNA from 1 species